UGUAUAAUGUAUUAUAUAUAUAUAUAUAUAUAACAUCCUAGUAAGUCAACUAAAUUUGACACAGACCUGAUCUGAUUUUAAUCAGGUCCAAGAUGAUGACCCCAGCUCGAAGCCAACUUGAUCUGAUUUUUAACCGGAAUGGCAGAACCCUGCUGGGUUUCUUAAUGGGUCUGGAAAUCAGAACCAUUAGAAUCAGACCUGGAUCCGUCAAAAUUGUGUUGGGCCCAUUGGUACCUUUGGCUUUGGGCAACCGUUUAUAGCCCUAAACGCAACAGUGAAGAUGGAGAGAGUAGAUCUUGCAACUGCGAUUCUUUUCAAGGAGGGAGAGCAGUGCUGCUGUCGCUGCUCAGAGGUGCUGUUACUUGUUAGACUCUUUCCACUGAUGGUGGGAUGACAAUUAUGGAUGGUGGAGAAGUGGUUGAAGAAGGAUCGGUAGAUGGAUGUGGUACUAGAGGAGAAAGGAUGAUGGAUGGAGAUGGUGUCAAACUUUGGGAAUUGUCAUAUGCUGGAGGCGAGAUGGUCGGAGACAGUGUUGGUGGUGGAUAUGCUGGUGUAAGGUUUGGUGGUGGAGGGGACAUGGUUGAGGAGGCUGCAAGAAAUGUGCCCUGUGCCAUACUAAGAGAAGAUCCUGUUAGUUUGGCAUUGUUAUAAUCUCUAGAAGAGGGGUCUGUGCCUUCCGAACAUCUCUGCCUUACCUGUAUGUAGGAUGCAGAAUUGAUCUCCCAUCUUCUUCUUCACUGUACCUUUGCCUCCGAAGUUUGGAAUGGGACCUUAUUUUUCAAGGAGGCCUCCUGGGUGUUCUUAUUCGAUCGAGGACCACAUCGGAUCGUGGGAUGUCGGAGGUAGGGGAAAGCUAGGAAAAAAGAGACGGAGUAAUGCGGGGGGCAUUUUCACACUGGGCGCGAGUGGGGUGGCCUGUGCGAUGUGGGGGCACACUCGGGGUGGGUGGCCCGUGUGAGGUGGAACACGUGACUUGGGGCCCAUGAGGGGGUGGAACCCAUGUGAUUUGGGGCCCACUGGGAGGGUUCGACUGAGGACCUAACCCAUGGAUGUGGGGCCUGGGCUAUGAUUUAAAGGGAUUAAUUCGCCAUGCUCUAUUAGUACGUGCUUUUGGAGCAAGUGGUUAGUUGUUAUGCAUCACGGAGGCUUGCUAUGCUCAUUGCCAUGAGGUCCAUCUCGCUGGAAAGAAAUAACUGUUGUUUCAACAAUGCCAACUGUUCAGAUAGUAGGGUUCUCUGUAAGGUGCUUCAUCUUGUUAAGGAAUGGGCACUGGGUUAGAGUUAGAGGGCUGUGUUUGGUUUUGGGUUUGGGUUUGGGUUUGGGCUGUUGCUCUUGUUUCUCUUGGCUGGCCUUUUCUGUGGGCUGGGCUCCCUUUCUUUUUAUGUUCCAUUUUUGUUGUUGUUGUUGUUUCCUGUUUAUGUGGCUUUAGUUUUUUGGUCUCCUUGGCCUUGUUUUAUAAUAUAAUUCAUCUUUAAAAAAAAAAAAAACUGCACAACUGUGGCUAGAAAUGCCUCUUUACAAGGAGAGAGGAUUCAACUAAACCCUUUUUUGAAAGAAAGGGAGAGAGUAGAGAGGCUUUUUAUUUAUUUUAUUUUUAUAAAUUGGACAAAUAUGGGAAAGGGAGCUAGAUGGGGAGGAGAAGGAAGGUCAAGCGGGCAUCCUUAUACCCGAUGGUUACCUGAUCUAACCCUACCCUUUUCUUAAAUAGGUAUAAAGUGGCGGACCUGAACCCGUCCUGAUUUUUUUAAAUGGGUCCGAAUAUGGUCCCAGACCCAUUAAAUUCGGUCCGGUCCCUCGGGUACAUGUGGAUCUGGGUAGCUGUUGACCACCCUAUAUCAGAUGCAGCUGUAACAAUGCAAGAUGAAGAUAAUCUUCAAUUUAACAAUAAUGUAGAGUUUUAACAGCCACAAAUU